CCUUGAUCUUCUUGUUGGCACUGGCAAGAUCCUGCCUAAGGCCUAGUAUAAUGGUGUUGUGGUUAGAGAGCUGCCUAGUGAGGGAAUUAACUGAGGACUGGAGGUCUAUGAUAAUUCUAUCUAGCCUGCGAACUUCCUCAUCAAUAUCCAUUAUAGUCUUGCGACGCUUGGAAGGUGUCUCAAAAGCAUUGAGAGAAUGCUUCGGGGCUGCCUUUGGAGGGAUGAAACGGACUUUGGCUGCUCUAAUCCCUUCAAAGUAAGGCCU
rnacentral:lncRNA from 1 species